UACAGAGGGUGCGAGCGUUAAUCGGAAUUACUGGGCGUAAAGCGCACGUAGGCGGCUUGGUAUGUCGGGUGUGAAAUCCCCCGGCUCAACCGGGGAACUGCACCUGAUACUGUUGGGCUUGAGUGCAGGAGGGGAGAGCGGAAUUCCUGGUGGAGCGGUGAAAUGCGUAGAUAUCAGGAGGAACGCCGGCGGCGAAAGCGGCUCUCUGGCCUGUUACUGACGCUGAGGCGCGAAAGCUAGGGGAGCAAACGGG
rnacentral:rRNA from 1 species